rnacentral:rRNA from 1 species
GGAAUCUUCCGCAAUGGACGCAAGUCUGACGGAGCAACGCCGCGUGAGUGAUGAAGGUUUUCGGAUCGUAAAGCUCUGUUGCCAGGGAAGAACGUCCGGGUUAGUAACUGAACUCGGAGUGACGGUACCUGAGAAGAAAGCCCCGGCUAACUACGUGCCAGCAGCCGCGGUAAUACGUAGGGGGCAAGCGUUGUCCGGAAUUAUUGGGCGUAAAGCGCGCGCAGGCGGCUUUUUAAGUCCGGUGUCACAGCCCAAGGCUCAACCUUGGGUCGCACUGGAAACUGGAGAGCUUGAGUACAGAAGAGGAAAGUGGAAUUCCACGUGUAGCGGUGAAAUGCGUAGAGAUGUGGAGGAACACCAGUGGCGAAGGCGACUUUCUGGGCUGUAACUGACGCUGAGGCGCGAAAGCGUGGGGAGCAAACAGGAUUAGAUACCCUUG